rnacentral:rRNA from 1 species
CACGUAGGGUGCGAGCGUUGUCCGGAAUUAUUGGGCGUAAAGAGCUCGUAGGCGGUCUGUUGCGUCUGCUGUGAAAACUCGGGGCUUAACCCCGAGCCUGCAGUGGAUACGGGCAGACUGGAGUACUGCAGGGGAGACUGGAAUUCCUGGUGUAGCGGUGGAAUGCGCAGAUAUCAGGAGGAACACCGGUGGCGAAGGCGGGUCUCUGGGCAGUAACUGACGCUGAGGAGCGAAAGCGUGGGGAGCGAACAGG